UCAGAGAGCUAGCUUCAUCCUUCGGGCGGGGAAAAAAGACAGAGAAUUGGGUUUUUUUUCUUCAUAGGGUUUUAGGAAGACUGAGGCAAUCGUUGCUGAAGUCAGUGUUGUAAUGGUGAAUCGGGAUUUUUAAUGAAGUGAGUUUGAUUAUUCUUGACUGUUUUGUAAAAUCGAGUUACGUUUGUGAUGAAGAAUUAAAAGGGUGUCUAUAGGAUUGAGUAUGCGGAGUGAAUAAAAUUUAUUGGGUUAAUCUAACAAGACAGUCAGUGGAUACAAGAUCGUGAGUAUAAAGUGGUAUCGAAGAUUAGCAGUUUGGGUUGUUCGGGGUUCUCUGUAACGUCUAGAG
rnacentral:lncRNA from 1 species